rnacentral:rRNA from 1 species
UACGUAGGCAGCAAGCGUUGUUCGGAGUUACUGGGCGUAAAGGGUGUGUAGGCGGUUGGAUAAGUGUGGUGUGAAAUCUCCCGGCUCAACUGGGAGGGUGCGCUACAAACUGUCUGACUAGAGUGUGGGAUGGGAAAGUGGAAUUCCUGGUGUAGCGGUGAAAUGCGUAGAUAUCAGGGGGAACACCGGUGGCGAAGGCGGGUCUCUGGGCAGUAACUGACGCUGAGAAGCGAAAGCGUGGGUAGCGAACAGG